GACGAACGCUGGCGGCGUGCUUAACACAUGCAAGUCGAACGGUAAGGCCCUUCGGGGUACACGAGUGGCGAACGGGUGAGUAACACGUGGGUGAUCUGCCCUGCACUUCGGGAUAAGCCUGGGAAACUGGGUCUAAUACCGGAUAGGACUCCGGACUGCAUGGUCUGGGGUGGAAAGCUUUUGCGGUGUGGGAUGGGCCCGCGGCCUAUCAGCUUGUUGGUGGGGUGAUGGCCUACCAAGGCGACGACGGGUAGCCGGCCUGAGAGGGUAACCGGCCACAGUGGGGCUGGGAUACGGCCCAGACUCCUACGGGAGGCAGCAGUGGGGAAUAUUGCACAAUGGGCGCAAGCCUGAUGCAGCGACGCCGCGUGAGGGAUGACGGCCUUCGGGUUGUAAACCUCUUUCAGCAUCGACGAAGCGAAAGUGACGGUAGGUGCAGAAGAAGGACCGGCCAACUACGUGCCAGCAGCCGCGGUAA
rnacentral:rRNA from 1 species